GAAAUUUCUGUUUUGCCUCCAAUUUUCUGUCACUUUUCAUUAUGCCGGCCUCUCUCUGUAUGUGUUUGACAGAUUUUAAAUUAUGAUUAAUUGUGAAGAAUUUUAUAAUCAAAAUUAAAGAAUAAAAAAAAACAAUAAUGCACAUCAGAAUGUAUAUAAAGAAAAAAAAAAUUCGAUUAAUUGUGAAGAAUUUUUUAAUGCCUCUGAAAAAAAAUCAAGUAAACAAGAUAAAAAAAAAUCCAUAAUGCAUAUAAAGAAUAAAUUCUAAAAGAAAAAGCAAUCUCCUAAUCAAAUUAGUAAAAGUAAUCUAAUCUCUUAACCACUACCCUUUUAUUUCAUCCACAUCACA
rnacentral:lncRNA from 1 species